CACACUAUCAUUAACUGAAUCCAUAGGUUAAUGAGGCGAACCGGGGGAACUGAAACAUCUAAGUACCCCGAGGAAAAGAAAUCAACCGAGAUUCCCCCAGUAGCGGCGAGCGAACGGGGAGGAGCCCAGAGCCUGAAUCAGUGUGUGUGUUAGUGGAAGCGUCUGGAAAGGCGCGCGAUACAGGGUGACAGCCCCGUACACAAAAAUGCACAUGCUGUGAGCUCGAUGAGUAGGGCGGGACACGUGGUAUCCUGUCUGAAUAUGGGGGGACCAUCCUCCAAGGCUAAAUACUCCUGACUGACCGAUAGUGAACCAGUACCGUGAGGGAAAGGCGAAAAGAACCCCGGCGAGGGGAGUGAAAAAGAACCUGAAACCGUGUACGUACAAGCAGUGGGAGCACAGAGCAAUCUGUGUGACUGCGUACCUUUUGUAUAAUGGGUCAGCGACUUAUAUUCUGUAGCAAGGUUAACCGAAUAGGGGAGCCGAAGGGAAACCGAGUCUUAACUGGGCGUUAAGUUGCAGGGUAUAGACCCGAAACCCGGUGAUCUAGCCAUGGGCAGGUUGAAGGUUGGGUAACACUAACUGGAGGACCGAACCGACUAAUGUUGAAAAAUUAGCGGAUGACUUGUGGCUGGGGGUGAAAGGCCAAUCAAACCGGGAGAUAGCUGGUUCUCCCCGAAAGCUAUUUAGGUAGCGCCUCGUGAAUUCAUCUCCGGGGGUAGAGCACUGUUUCGGCAAGGGGGUCAUCCCGACUUACCAACCCGAUGCAAACUGCGAAUACCGGAGAAUGUUAUCACGGGAGACACACGGCGGGUGCUAACGUCCGUCGUGAAGAGGGAAACAACCCAGACCGCCAGCUAAGGUCCCAAAGUCAUGGUUAAGUGGGAAACGAUGUGGGAAGGCCCAGACAGCCAGGAUGUUGGCUUAGAAGCAGCCAUCAUUUAAAGAAAGCGUAAUAGCUCACUGGUCGAGUCGGCCUGCGCGGAAGAUGUAACGGGGCUAAACCAUGCACCGAAGCUGCGGCAGCGACGCUGAUGCGUUGUUGGGUAGGGGAGCGUUCUGUAAGCCUGCGAAGGUGUGCUGUGAGGCAUGCUGGAGGUAUCAGAAGUGCGAAUGCUGACAUAAGUAACGAUAAAGCGGGUGAAAAGCCCGCUCGCCGGAAGACCAAGGGUUCCUGUCCAACGUUAAUCGGGGCAGGGUGAGUCGACCCCUAAGGCGAGGCCGAAAGGCGUAGUCGAUGGGAAACAGGUUAAUAUUCCUGUACUUGGUGUUACUGCGAAGGGGGGACGGAGAAGGCUAUGUUGGCCGGGCGACGGUUGUCCCGGUUUAAGCGUGUAGGCUGGUUUUCCAGGCAAAUCCGGAAAAUCAAGGCUGAGGCGUGAUGACGAGGCACUACGGUGCUGAAGCAACAAAUGCCCUGCUUCCAGGAAAAGCCUCUAAGCAUCAGGUAACAUCAAAUCGUACCCCAAACCGACACAGGUGGUCAGGUAGAGAAUACCAAGGCGCUUGAGAGAACUCGGGUGAAGGAACUAGGCAAAAUGGUGCCGUAACUUCGGGAGAAGGCACGCUGAUAUGUAGGUGAAGCGACUUGCUCGUGGAGCUGAAAUCAGUCGAAGAUACCAGCUGGCUGCAACUGUUUAUUAAAAACACAGCACUGUGCAAACACGAAAGUGGACGUAUACGGUGUGACGCCUGCCCGGUGCCGGAAGGUUAAUUGAUGGGGUUAGCGCAAGCGAAGCUCUUGAUCGAAGCCCCGGUAAACGGCGGCCGUAACUAUAACGGUCCUAAGGUAGCGAAAUUCCUUGUCGGGUAAGUUCCGACCUGCACGAAUGGCGUAAUGAUGGCCAGGCUGUCUCCACCCGAGACUCAGUGAAAUUGAACUCGCUGUGAAGAUGCAGUGUACCCGCGGCAAGACGGAAAGACCCCGUGAACCUUUACUAUAGCUUGACACUGAACAUUGAGCCUUGAUGUGUAGGAUAGGUGGGAGGCUUUGAAGUGUGGACGCCAGUCUGCAUGGAGCCGACCUUGAAAUACCACCCUUUAAUGUUUGAUGUUCUAACGUUGACCCGUAAUCCGGGUUGCGGACAGUGUCUGGUGGGUAGUUUGACUGGGGCGGUCUCCUCCUAAAGAGUAACGGAGGAGCACGAAGGUUGGCUAAUCCUGGUCGGACAUCAGGAGGUUAGUGCAAUGGCAUAAGCCAGCUUGACUGCGAGCGUGACGGCGCGAGCAGGUGCGAAAGCAGGUCAUAGUGAUCCGGUGGUUCUGAAUGGAAGGGCCAUCGCUCAACGGAUAAAAGGUACUCCGGGGAUAACAGGCUGAUACCGCCCAAGAGUUCAUAUCGACGGCGGUGUUUGGCACCUCGAUGUCGGCUCAUCACAUCCUGGGGCUGAAGUAGGUCCCAAGGGUAUGGCUGUUCGCCAUUUAAAGUGGUACGCGAGCUGGGUUUAGAACGUCGUGAGACAGUUCGGUCCCUAUCUGCCGUGGGCGCUGGAGAA
rnacentral:rRNA from 1 species